AUUGAACGCUGGCGGCAGGCCUAACACAUGCAAGUCGAACGAGUGGCGGACGGGUGAGUAAUGGCGGGGAAACUGCCUGAUGGAGGGGGAUAACUACUGGAAACGGUAGCUAAUACCGCAUACCAUCAGAUGUGCCCAGAUGGGAUUAGCUAGUGGGUGGGGUAACGGCUCACCAAGGCGACGAUCCCUAGCUGGUCUGAGAGGAUGACCAGCCACACUGGAACUUAGACACGGUCCAGACUCUUACGGGAGGCAGCAGUGGGGAAUAGUGCACCCUUGGCGCAAGCCUGAGACAGCCAUGCCGCGCGUAUGCAGACGGCCCUCGGGUUGUAAAGUACUUUCAGCGGGGAGGCGUUACCCGCAGAAGAAGCACCGGCUAACUCCGUGCCAGCAGCCGCGGUAAUUC
rnacentral:rRNA from 1 species